GCCAAGAACCAAAGAGGCAAACCGAUGUGAACCCAAAAAUAAGAUUGGAAAAGUAAACAAUUAUACAAAAAAAACACGUUUUUCUCGGGCUUAUGAAAGAACGAUAUUACGGGCGUCGCAAUCUUGCUUUUGGUUAGGUGAGCCGAGCUCGCUUUGGACGCAGCUUUUCCAUCUGCUUCUUUCAGGGAAAUUUCUCUCUC
rnacentral:misc_RNA from 1 species